AAGCUAAAAUCCAAGGCGAGCAAGAACGCAGAUGUUUAAAUGGAACACUAAAUAGACCACUAAGUGAAACACUAAAUGAGUUUACGCUGAUGAUUCAUGCCCGUGCUACACGGACACAAUAAAUGACAUUCCAUGGUUAAUGCGUUAAGUUUCUAAAGGACAUUUUAGUCCUGAGUGUCAUUGUGGUGCCACGAAUUUCGAAGUAUUUUUUCGUAUUUUGUCUACAUUGGCUCCGUAAAGUAUUCAUAAACUUGCUAUGUUAAGGUAUUGUUCCCUUAGAAUUCAACUUAAUGCAUUUUUACCAAUAAAUAAUUACGUAGGCCCUAGCAGACAUCGUCAAAAUCUAUGACGUCAUGGCGAGUUGUAGCCGAAACCUCAAGGAGUCGUCGCAAUUUCUAUUUCCUGCUAGAGCGUUUUCUGGCUCACCAAGUGUGUUCUAGCGACAAAUGGAAUAGCUGAUAUCCUCCUCAGUCUCUCCGCAGCAACAGAACAGAAACAGCUUCGCCAUCUAGUGGCGGUGUGAAGAAACAAACCUUGUGCCCCUGAGCGGCGGACUUCACGGCGUAGUCUAAGUGCUUGAAGGAAAAGCGUACGUUAAGUGGAAGCAUCGGUACGAUGAAUAUAUACUCACAUAUCUCGUUCACAUGAACUAAAAAUUUAGAAAUUAUUUUAUUAGACAAUUGUAGACCGUGUUGAAUCCAACCCUUUGCAAUUAAAAUCAAAAGUUAAAAUCUAACAACUGAAGCAAGUGAACGCGCAGCUCGUGCGCGUCGACCCACGAUGCGCACGGUGGGUCAUGCGACUUUUGGUGAGAUUUCGAGUCGAAAUCAGGUUUUCGCUCAAUAUAAGGCCUUGAUAACUGAAUAAAGACAGGGAAGGCGCGCUUGCCAUUUCCCACGACGCAUAUCCACAUUUAAACCAUCGUUGUGUCGAGCACUUCUUUUUCUUGUUGUCAGUGUCACAUCUUUAAUUGUCAUUUAUGCGUCAGUAUUCUAUGGCUACCGCCCUCCGAAAACUGCGCGUCCGUCCGUCUGUAACGCAACGCGUUGAUACCUAAAUGAUGGCUGAUGUCGGCCAGUGUUGCCAUAUGUGGUCAAAUUAUGAAGUCACAAAUUGUGCUCGCGCACCAUUAUGACAAUUAAUUCUCUAGUAGGAAUUCCAGCCCACCUUCUCUUCCUUGCUGAUAUUUCUUCUUGUUAUUUUCUCAUUGUACAUCAAGUGAGUUCGUACACACACGUAUUCCUGUUCCACUUCGCACAGAUUUUUGUUCAUAUAAAGCCACGCUUACACACCUCAAUAGUACAUCAACCAUAACUCAACAUCUCUGACUUUCCUUUCGGCCACACUCAUGAUUAGUGAAGGACAGAGAAAAUACAUAAAAAAGAAAGGUUAUGUUUCGUCGUCCACUUUCCUCAAUUUUUUUCCCUGAAGGUAUAUCAAGAGGACAUCGCAGAAAAAGUCACAUGACCACCCGCGCCCCUCGAGACGCGUGAGCUGCGCAUUCACGUCGUCUCUGUGUCGUUCGCGACAUACAAUGUGCGCGGUGAAAUAG
rnacentral:lncRNA from 1 species